rnacentral:misc_RNA from 1 species
UUUCUCUCUCACUACCACAAAAAGGAGAGGGAGAGCAGAGGCAUUAGGGUUUUAGCAUUUCCCCAAGGAGUGUAAAUUGUUAGGUUUAGGCUCAAGGUUGUUGUUGUUUAAGGAGAGAGGGGGAAAAUGGCUGCAGACAAGGGGAAGAAGAUGAAGGUAGCAGAGAAAGGGGAGGAGGACGACGACAAUUACCAAAUCGACGAAGCGCUUGUCCUUUCAAUCGAAAAGCUCCAGGAGAUCCAGGACGAUCUCGAAAAGAUCAAUGAAGAGGCUAGUGAUAAGGUCUUGGAAGUAGAGCAGAAGUAUAACGAGAUACGCAAGCCAGUCUAUGAUAAGCGGAAUGAGAUCAUCAAAACCAUUCCUGACUUUUGGUUAACUGCUUUUUUAAGUCAUCCUGUUCUUCAUACACUUCUAAAUGAAGAGGAUCAAAAGAUAUUCAAAUAUAUAAUCUCCUUGGAGGUGGAGGACUUUAAAGACGUUAAAUCUGGUUACACCAUAACAUUUAACUUUCAACCCAACCCAUAUUUUGAGGAUACAAAGCUUACAAAAACUUUCACUUUCCUUGGUGAAGGAACAACAGAAAUUACUGCUACACUGAUUAAGUGGAAACAGGGCAUGGAAAUGCCGAAUGGAGUGAAUGAGAAGAAAGGGAACAAAAGACCUUUUAUUGAUGAAGGCUUCUUCGGUUGGUUUAGUAGUCCUGUGCGGAAAGAGACGGUGGAAAAUUAUCAGGAUGAGAUUGCAGAUGUUAUCAAAGAAGAUUUAUGGCCCAAUCCACUCUCUUAUUUCAACACUGAUCCUGAUGAUGAGGAGUUUGAAGGGGAUGAAGCUGAUGAAGGGGUUAAGGAUGGUGAUGACUCUGAAGAGGAUGACGAUGAGCAAGAAGACGACGAAGAUGAUGAUGCUGGUAUCUGACUGGUACCAUGUUCAGUAGGUGGUUUUCUGACGAUUUUUCUUAUCCAGUCAAGGCCAUUCGUUCUGUUCUACUGUGGUUUCCUCCCUGAUAUGCAGUUUUCUAGAUAAUUAUGGUAUGAUGUCCUUUUUAUAUCUUACAUCUCUUUCAAUCCUUGAUCAAAGAAAAAGUAGAAUCGUACCUUAUGGUGUAAAGUUGUUGGGAUAAGCCUCUUAUAUGCAUUCAAUUUACUAACAAACAAAUGACCUAUGCUGUUAUCAGUUUAAGCUUAUCAGGUUCUUUAGCUGUGGACUUGUUCAAAAAGUACUUUGUGUGUUGGAAUCCAUUUUUGUUCUUCGAG